GAUCUCGUCAUGUUGCUCCAAUGACACUGCUUUAAGGGCAAUCGGAGUCCCUACCAACUCUUAGGCACCCCCAUGAUGGACGGAGGUGCUGCUUCCACCCUCCUAAUCAACUAUGGGGGUGGACCUUGAUCAGUUCAAGUUACUUAUGUAGUAAGUGCAAAUCCUAGCUACUGCCGUACAAAUGAUGUAAUGAGAUACUAAGGGAAGG
rnacentral:lncRNA from 1 species